UGGGGAAUAUUGCACAAUGGGCGAAAGCCUGAUGCAGCAACGCCGCGUGAGUGAUGAAGGCCUUCGGGUUGUAAAGCUCUGUCUUUUGGGACGAUAAUGACGGUACCAAAGGAGGAAGCCACUGCUAACUACGUGCCAGCAGCCGCGGUAAUACGUAGGUGGCAAGCGUUGUCCGGAUUUACUGGGCGUAAAGGAUGCGUAGGCGGAUUUUUAAGUGAGAUGUGAAAUACCCGGGCUUAACUUGGGUGCUGCAUUCAAACUGGGAAUCUAGAGUGCGGGAGAGGAGAAUGGAAUUCCUAGUGUAGCGGUGAAAUGCGUAGAGAUUAGGAAGAACACCGAUGGCGAGGCAAUCCCUGGGCCUGCACUGACGCUCAUGCACG
rnacentral:rRNA from 1 species